UGAGGAAUAUUGGUCAAUGGGCGAGAGCCUGAACCAGCCAAGUCGCGUGAAGGAAGAAGGAUCUAUGGUUCGUAAACUUCUUUUGCAGGGGAAUAAAGUGCGGGACGUGUCCUGUUUUGUAUGUACCCUGAGAAUAAGGAUCGGCUAACUCCGUGCCAGCAGCCGCGGUAAUACGGAGGAUCCGAGCGUUAUCCGGAUUUAUUGGGUUUAAAGGGUGCGUAGGUGGUUUGAUAAGUCAGCGGUGAAAGUUUGCAGCUUAACUGUAAAAAUGCCGUUGAAACUGUCGGACUUGAGUGUAAAUGAGGUAGGCGGAAUGCGUGGUGUAGCGGUGAAAUGCAUAGAUAUCACGCAGAACUCCGAUUGCGAAGGCAGCUUACUAAGCUACAACUGACACUGAAGC
rnacentral:rRNA from 1 species